ensembl:lncRNA
CUUAGUGGCCCUCCUCUGGACCCGCUCCAAGAGCUCCACAUCCUUCCUGUACUGGGGGCCCCAGGCCUGGAUGCAGUACUCCAGAUGGGGCCUCACAAGAGCUGAGUAGAGGGGCACAAUCGCCUCCCUCUCCCUGCUGGCCACCCCUUUUAUAAUGCAGCCCAGAACACAGUUGGCCUUCUGAGCUGCAAGCGCACUCUGCUGGCUCAUGUCCAGCUUCUCAUCUACCAGGACCAGCAAGUCCUUCUCCGCAGGGCUUCUCUCAAGAAGAUCUUCCCGCAGUUGGUAUAAAUACCUGGGAUUGGCCCAACUGGAGUGCACUUGGCCUUACUGAACCUCAUUAGGUUUUCAUGGGCCCACUUCUCCAGCCUGUCCACGUCCCUCUAGAUUGCCUCCCUUCCUUCCAAUGUAUCAACUGCACUGCUCAGCUUGAUGUUGUCUGCAAACUUGCUGAGGGUGCACUCGAUAAAGUAAAUGUAAAUGAUGUAUCAGAAAGUAAAGUAAAUGAUGUAUCAGAUAGGUUAUAUUGAUGGCCAGUGCCUUUAUCCAAGCCUGUAGGCACAAAACAUACAAAACAUAGAAACAAGAGAUGGUCAUGUCAGUGUUGUUGUGAUCCGUCUGUCACAGUGAACCACCAAUUGAAAAACAUCAGAUGAAAAAACAAUAGGGUUAACAAACUCUUGAUCCAAACAUCUUAGCAAAUUUUUAAGACCAAGCAUGAGCUGGGGAUGUCUCAGACUGAUGUCUGUGAUAUAAACAGAAAAAGAGGAGGAGUAUGGGUCAUAACAGUUUCAUGACUGACAUGAAAGACAUUGCCUCUAAGAUGAAAAAGCCUGAAGAGGAACAUUCUAGACUGCAUUCUUCCUAAUAUGUGUAGUAUUUAAUGAUGGGCUGGCAGAAAUCAGAAUACUACGUAUAAUCUAAUGCUGAUGUGGUGGAUUUACCUGCAGAUUGCCCUCUGCCCUUGAGGAUAACCUUUGCUUCACUUCAUUCACACAGUGUUCUUUUGUAAGACAUUAAGCUCUUUCCAUGCAUAGUAGGAUGCCUAUGCUCCUACCAUUUGGUUCAAGUUUACUCAGCAUUCAGAUGAUGACAUAGAUGUAAACUAAGAGGUGGUGUAACUAUAUGAAAACAGCUGAACAUGUUUUUGCAAGCAGCAAAUCCUUUGAUUUUGUUUUAUCCAAGAACAGAACUAUUCCCACCAGCAAGCAAGGUACUUGGCUAUUUUUUUUUUUUCGAAAACACACCAAAGCUAUUCCUCAAAACAGCACCAGGAAUCUAAUGCUUGAUCCUUCACUACAGCCUUUUCUGCUUGUACCACUGCUUCCUUGUAUCUCAGUGCUGCUGUAUACUCUCAGACCACAGAGUCAACAAUGGCACAUACAGAUUUUCACAUACAAAAAACAGAGAAAACUCUGCUUCACUGCUCUGAAGUUGGAAACACUGAUGCAAAAGCUCAUAGAGUAUUAGCUGCAUUGUCUUGCUGUAUUGGAGUCAGAAGAAAAUUUACCACACCAGAUAAUUUCUGAAUCAUUGCUUUCAAUAGCAGCACUAAAAGAAGGCAUGUCAAGUUGGGAGCUCCCCUCCGUGCUGAAUGACAAAGCGGUAUUGUUAGGCACAAUGAACUCGAUGAGUUAAAUCCUCACAUGAGUCCAGUGUCAGAAUUGCCAUGGCUUGAAGUGUAUACAAAAUGAAAAAUCUUCAGUGACUGCACAUGUUAUUUCUAGAGUGCAAAAUAUGGGCUGGGGGUAAAAAAAGAAAGAGCAUCAAGUCUUCCAUGCCAGUUUCAAAUGUCUGUCUUCAGGUGAAGGUGGAAUAUUCUUUCAAUAUUCUUUCUUCCGUGUUUUGGGCUUAAAUUUUAAUGUGUUAUAUGCUCCUUCCACAGCUUUGGGCAAAUACAUGGGAUGUCUUUCCAACCUCUUUCUAGAGCCAGUUGUUCUUCGUUGGCUGUUUUUUUGUGACUGGUUUGCAGCCUUUGCUGUUUGGGCAGUAUCUUCUGAGUACCUGCGAGGAGCACGAAGGAUCCAGUUUGAAUGUAAACUGUGUUCGCUUGUGCUGGUAGCCACUGAAAGACACAAGAUAAUCCCAAGUUAGCAGAGUUUGCCAGUUGUCUUGGUUUAACCCAGAAGAAAGUUAAGCACCACACAGCAGUUCACUCACUCCCCUACAGUAGAAUGGGGGAGAAAAUUGAAAUGAACUCAUGGCUUGAGGUAUGGACAGCUUAAUAAGAAAGAAAGAAAAGGAAAAAAAUAGCAAGAACAAUAACAAACAAAAAAGUGGGCAAUGCACAACACAGUUUCUCACCACCCUCUGACCAAGAUCCAGCCAGUCCCAAAGCAUGGUCCCCCUACCUCAAGCCAGCUCCCCCAGUUUUAAUGUUCAGCACAAUGCCACAUGAAAUCAGAAGUCCCUUUGGCCAGUCUGUGGCAGCUAUCCUGGCUCUGUCCCAUCCCAGCUCCUACCCCUCAGCCCCCUCAAUGGCGGGGCAGCAUGAGAAGCUGAAACACAUGUGACUGUGCAAGCACUGCUCAGCAACAACCAAAACAUUGGCGUGUUAUCAACAUUAUUCUAAAUACAAACCACAGAACCAUAUCAGCUACUAGGAAGAAACCAGGAUACACAGGAUAUUUCUAUAUGUACAGUAUGAGAAUAGGGUGGUUGCCUGUUCCUUCUUGGUAGUUAUAUUGAAUAACCAAGAAAAUACUUAUUAACUGCUUUCGUCCUCUUUUCACUUUGGGGUGUCACUUGGGGUGUGAUUCAUCUUAUCUAAUAUUUCAAUGCCUGCAGUAUGAACACGUGUGUCAAAGUCCUCCAAUAUGCACUUGAGGACAGAACUGGUCUGACCUGUUUCAUGCGUGUUCCUUAGCCUAAGACAAAGCACAAAGGACGAAAAUAUUUAUCUCCAAUUGAUUAUGCAGGAUGGAUGAUGAGUUCAGAAGGGCGCAUCUUCAUUUGGUCAAGUAAUCCCAUCCUUAGGAAAGGUACUGUUGUUUAUACUAAACUCUGAAGUACUUGUUUUUUGUUUUGUUUGUUUUGUUUUGCUGUUCAGAGAUAAAGUAUCCAUCCAUUUCUCAAUGAUAAACAUGAGAUUUAGACACAGAAAUAAUUAACUGAGAUGCAGGAUGGAAUUUACAUUAGGUGGAAGACAAGCACUACUCCUGAACUGAAUAGACACACACAAAAGAUCUGCACCCUUUCAACAGGGUACAAGCAACGUGUUACUGUAGUUUCUCAUAAUGCAUGUAAUUUUGGCCAUGUUCUUUGUGCCAAAGGGGUGGAGGUUGGCCUUUUCCUCUGGGUGACAGCAAUAGACAAGAAGUAAUGCUUUCAGGUUGUGCCAGGGGAAGUUCAGGUUGGAUGCUGGGAAAGACUUAUUCCCCAAAAGAAUGGUCAGGCACUGAAGCAGGUUGCCCAGGGAGGUGGUGGUCACUGUCCAUGUUCAAGAAACACGGAGAUGUGGCACUGAGGAACAUGGUUAGUAAGCAUGGUGGGGAUGGGUUGAUAGUUGGACUAGGUGAUCUUAGAGGUCUUUGAGCAACCUGGUCUAGAGGGAUGUGUCCCUGCCUAUAGCAGGGGGGUUGGGUUGGAACUAGAUGCUCUUAACAGUCCCUUCCAACUCAAACCAUUCUAUGAUUCAAUGAUUCUGAUGCUCUUAAAUCUCAGAAGCAAAACUGAGAGGAAAAUUGUCCAUUUAAGUAAAUUUGGUCUUACAUGUCCACUCUUCCCUCUACUCAUUGCACAACAAAAGUAAUCAUAUUUUUUCUGUUUUAUACUUCACCAUCAAAAUCAACAUCUGCAUUUGGCAGGUCCAUGUCAGGAGCUCUCCGGCAUCUCUCUGAAUCCAGAUCUGCAAUAACCGAGUCAAAGAACGCUAUCGCUUCUCUUACAUCUGAAUUGGGCUGUGGGACUUUUCUUCUCUCCAUGGAUGUCUGUUGAUAAGAUAGGGAAAAAAAAACCAACAUUAGAUGCAGUUGGAAAACCAAAAAAAAAUCUUAAUGAGAAAACUGUAUAAGGAAGCUGCAAAAAUUGUAUUUGAUUCCAUAUUUCAAGAUUUCAGAAAGGCUCACAAGUCCAGAUUACUCCACAGCAGCCAAGAAAGAAGGCAGAAUGUCAACCCAAGUGUCCCUCUUGUUACAUGCUCAACACCAGACAUCUUCCACUUCAGCCCUGCCAAUGUGUCUUCGUAAAAUCUCUCAGAAUCCCUCUAUUAAGCCACGUAAUUGGGUGACUAGGUGACAGCUGAGCUUUGUGGCCAAAUUCAUCCUGCCUAGUACUAGGCACCUAACGAGAUGCACACAUUAGAAAUGGAGUCAUACAAGGUUACUUCUUUAAUUAAUGCAGGGCUCGAGUACCUUCAAAAGAUGAAUCAGAACCUAGGUAGGCUGAAUUCCCCUCUUCAGUCAGCUCUAGUCCCUUACUGCAGAGAGAUCGUGGAGCAACUUGGUUACUAAUUUAAGCAUCUUAUUAAAAUGCCUUGGUUUGAUGAAAUGAAUCCAGAUCUAAAUUGCUAAAGUCUUUCUUUUUUUUUUUUUUUAAUGGAAAAGGACUGUGAGUGCUAAAAAAUGAGUCAUUCAACACUAUGCUAAUUCCCACAGGAAAGCCACAGGGUUUAAAAUUAGGAAUCUGUCUUGUUAAAAAAGCAAAUGUCUGUCUACAGAUGCUGAAGCAUUCAUAAAGCCUCAGUUAGCAAUUCUGUAGGUCAGUACAGGAUGAACCCUUCUGCUAUUCAUGAAGGUUCUGCCUAAUGAAGGGCUGUGUAUUUUCCCCACCAGUCCAAUUGCCAGAGCAAUUCCGAAUCAGAAACUUAUUGUAGUGGGUUUCAAAUGCACAAGCAAAAGAUAUAUGCUGUGUCACCUCUCUGACGGACGAGUUUGCUUCCCAUUCUGUGGGAUGGUGCAGGCAGUGAUGAGUUAGCUUCCCCUUGUGACAUUAUAGGAUGAUUGGCAUCUUCAGAAGUGCUAAAAGAUAACUGCUACCACACACUGACUGAGAAUAGUCAGUGCUAUUAUAACUAAGCCUUUAUCACUUAAAAGACAUUUUUUAAAAGUGUGUGCUUCAGAAUCUGACACACUUCUCUAUUCUUUUCUUUCACAAGACCCAAGUGACAAACUUUGAAUCCACAGACAGCCUGUAGUCCAGGCUUUGAGUUUUGCAUCUGAAUUAAACUUUUCCUGAAGACAAGGUUGUCUGGGCAAAGCACAUUCGUAUGAAUUGUGCAGUGGGUAUGGGAAAAAAGUGAAUUCCAUUGGCAGGAAAUUUAAUACACACAGGUAGUUAGGGACAGAACUAUUCAAGCCUGUUGGUAAAAUGAAUCUUGCAGUCUGUGAACAUAAAGCUUGGAGUUAAGAAGUGGAGUAUACUGUAUGUUGUAGAAGUCUUCUUGGCCUCCUCCUAAUUUUUGCAAAGCCAGGGCUGUGCAGCUGUGACUCCACUAUUUGUGUCAAGCACGAAUGACAUGCUGGACAGCAUAUCCUGCUGAUGUUCCAGAGGGGAAUGCUGUGGAGUUAGCAUGCCAGCCAGUAUCAGGCCUGGGGAUGCGUAAGAGAUAGCUGGCCACAGAGAGAUGACAGCAUUCAUAGCCUCAGAAUGUGGGAGAUUCACUUGUUUGCCAAACUCAAGUUAAACUUCUGACUUUUUUCCAGUGGCACUUUAAAUGGAAAAUAUCAGAGAGUUACAACUCUACGUGAAUCAUAAUUGUACACAGUCUAUCUCACAGACUCCUGGUCUGUGGUUUAAGUGUUCUUUUGCACUCAUAUUUCUCCUCUGCCUAGUGGUUAGCCAUGUUUCAUGCUCCAUUACAUCACUGCUCAGCUCAUCAGGGGAACUGACAUGCUGUAACUCUCUCCUUCAUCAAGCCAAUCUUUGUGCAUCAAAAGCUGGUUCACAGGUUAUGUAUCUUGUAGUGUUGAGAUUCAUCUCCUGGCCCCUGGCACCACCAUACCACUCUCCUACAACUCAGUCAUUCUCUUUGGAUGUUUCCCUAGUCCUAAAUGGUAAAGUCUUUAUAAAAUCUGUCUUCUUCAGCCCACUGAACUGAGUACUGUUUCUUGCUCAAAGGAUUAAAAAGAUGACAUAAAGACCAAUAAAACCAACUGAGGGAUUCCCACUGACUGAUUGGGUGAUAGAUCAAGAUGUAGAAUGAAAAAAUGUGAUAUCUAACUCUAAAAAUAUGAAUCUUGUCCUUUGGUUAAGCGAUGUCUGCAGCAGAACUCAGCCUGAGCCAUUCUGAUAUUAUGCUGUGAAAGAGCAUAUGGAUGUGGAAUAAUUUUCUGGUAAAGUCUACCUGGCCUAGUCAGUAGGUAAUCCAUUAUAUCACUUCUUCCCACCAUUCGUAUGGUAUCCAAUUUAAAGGCUGCACCAGGUAACCUGCAUGUCUGUUGCCAAAAUCAUAUUUUUGGUCUGGUUCCCUAAAUAGAUCACCCCACCUGCUGCAAUUCAAUUUUUUUUUUCCUCACUGAAUCAACUCCACUACACUACUACAAACUACUGUCUAGUGACAUGCAACUUAUAAGGUGCAGCCCUACAGAAGGUUUGCAAUGCUCUUCCCUCUAGGACUUACAGAAGCAAUCAGCAACAAAAAAAUCGGUGCUAUUAUGUGUUAUCAUUGUAGUAAGGGACAAAGAACUACAGUGUCUGCUUCAAAACUACUUGACAGUUCAUUAAUUAACAGAGAAAGGAACCCCUACCAAUUCUCCAUUGCCUACAGUGUAUCAAUAGUUUGCACAGAUGAUGAAUGUAGCACUGACAAGCUGUCUGAUCAGUCAAAGAAAAUCACAGCUGUUUCAUAGAAAACACAAUUGUUUUCAGUAAGUAAGUUUUGCCAGUGAGAAGGCUACCAGUAAACACAGGGACUACUGUGCUUUUCAGUCAUUAACAGCUAUAAAUAACCACAGUGGAGAACACUGAGCCACUUAAGUAGCCUGUCAGAGUUGAGAGAGAACAUCUCUUUCAUAACAAGCUUUCAGAUACUUUCCAUCUUCUCAUAGUCCUUAUCUUCUCUUAUUUUCUCUCCAUACCUCUACAAACAAAUUCUUUCCAUGAUCAGAAAUUCAUACUUGACUUCACACAACUCUGGAGGUAUCUUAGAGUAUUUAGUAGUAGUUCAGAUGAAGUAAGAACAACAAAAAAAGGCAGACAGCCGAGACAUGUAAGGCAGAAAAUCAACAUAGGUCAUACACCUAAUUGCUUCAUGGUUUAAGACUAAUCAUACAGUAAAAGUUCAGAGGAAUUACCUUAGAAAACUCUUUGGAGGAAAGUGGAAGAAAUGACUUCUUUCCAGUUUUGGAUGAUUUUGUGGAUGUUGGGGAAUCUGCAGUCAUAUGCAUAGAUUUCAACUUAUUGAUGUUGUCAAGAUAUUUUUUCCUCAAGGCUAACAAGUCCUGUAAGUACUUCAAGCAGUCUUGAGUCUUAGAGUACAUCCACUCCCUGUCUUCCUCUUUUGACUGGCUGCAGGAGUCAAUGCUGUUUGUACUUUUGCAUUUUUUUAAUGGUUCACUAACUUUUUCCUGCUCAUCGCCAAGGACAUACAUAGAGGUGCUGCGGAUCAAUCUGACAGCAGAACCUGUGCCACCCCAGUAAGGAAUGUCAUCUGUUGCAUUUCUUCGGUGGGAGUUGGGGUGAAAUAUGGAAUGGAUCUUUUUGAACAUAAUGUGUUUCUUUGACCCUGUUACACUUUUCUCUUUUAGCUACUUAAUUUAACCCAGAAUCUAGUAACCAGUAGCUGCAACCCUUGUCCUCAUCUGACAGAGAUUUGCCACUUACUGUAAUGAAGACAAAAAACAUCUUUUACUGCUUUCGUUGCCUGCAGUCCAAUACAUUGUGAAGAGCUUGAUCAUAGAGCAGAAGCGUAUUUUCUAUUCCAUUUGCAUCAGUGAAAUAACUGUUCUUUCCUCGGAUUAAAGCACAGCACAGGAGGUCAAAGGUCAUGCUUUGACCUUUCGUUUGACUGGUCUCCAUAAAAGAACAUAAUCAUCGAGCUGGAAAUCCCCUCCUCAACUUUUCUCGGUCCCCCGUGGGUCGCUGCGGCCGCCUCCUUCACGCAGGCGGGUGCCCGGUGCUGGCCAUGGUGCUGAAGCGCCUCUGCCGCCCUGCCAGCAUCCCAAACCUCCGCGGGAUGGCUUCUUCGGGAUUGCUUCUUGCGAUCAGCCUCUACAGGGACAAAGUGCAGAGGGAUAGUUUCUACUGGCCAGAAUUUAGAUAUCGCUCCGAGUUUCACCCUGUGGUAAUCAGGAGAUGGCUACAGCUACCCGAUACCACAGCGCGACUGGGAGCAAAGUGGAUUCAGAUGUCAGGGUCUGUUACACUCAGCACAAAGCUGCUCUGUGUAAAGAAUGCUGUAAAAUAAAACACUUAUAAAAU